rnacentral:rRNA from 1 species
UACGAAGGGGGCUAGCGUUGCUCGGAAUCACUGGGCGUAAAGCGCACGUAGGCGGAUUGUUAAGUCAGGGGUGAAAUCCUGGAGCUCAACUCCAGAACUGCCUUUGAUACUGGCGAUCUUGAGUCCGGGAGAGGUGAGUGGAACUCCGAGUGUAGAGGUGAAAUUCGUAGAUAUUCGCAAGAACACCAGUGGCGAAGGCGGCUUACUGGACCGGUUCUGACGCUGAGGCGCGAAAGCGUGGGGAGCAAACAGG